AGGUCCGUAGCUCAGUUGGUUAGAGCGCACCCCUGAUAAGGGUGAGGUCGGUGGUUCGAAUCCACUCGGACCUACCA
rnacentral:tRNA from 1 species